CCAAACUUGGUCAUUUAGAGGAAGUAAAAGUCGUAACAAGGUUUCCGUAGGUGAACCUGCGGAAGGAUCAUUAACGAGUUUUGAAAUGGGUUGUUGCUGGCCUUCCGAGGCAUGUGCACGCCCUGCUCAUCCACUCUACACCUGUGCACUUACUGUAGGUUGGCGUGGGUUUCUAGCCUCCGGGUUGGAAGCAUUCUGCCGGCCUAUGUACACUACAAACUCUUAAAGUAUCAGAAUGUAAACGCGUCUAACGCAUCUUAAUACAACUUUCAGCAACGGAUCUCUUGGCUCUCGCAUCGAUGAAGAACGCAGC
rnacentral:misc_RNA from 1 species